rnacentral:sRNA from 1 species
UUUUUUAUUACGAAACAUAGUUUGUGUUUUUGCGGUCACUCCUAU